rnacentral:lncRNA from 1 species
UGAGUGUUGGGACGAGACGUGAGGUACGUUCGUAGCGGUCGAUAGAGCUUCCGACCCAGGUUAUCGAUUUAGUUUUUAUCUUACUAUUCGGUUGUUAUAGUUCAGUUAGUUUAUAUGGUUCAGUUAGACGAUCAUACUUGAUGUUUGAAUGUUGUGAGCUGGUUGAAUUUGUGGAAUUGUGGAUUUGGUUUAUGGAUCUUCAGUUUUGGAAUGUUCGUAUACUUUGUGGUUCUCGGAUUUGUAUUUAUGGAUCUACGCAUCGUGGUUUUCUGCCCCUCGAGGUAGUCGGUUUUCAAAAUAGAGUUUCCGUGUGAGAAACAGUUUUCAAAAGAUUUUUGAAUGAUUUUCAUAUAUGAAUGAAUUAGAUUUUAAAAACAAAAGCUUCUGUGUGGGGAGCACUUUCAAAUAGGAUGUUUGUUGUAUUGUGCAUUGCAUCAUCCAGCGCCUAAGGAGUGCUUAGAGACAUGCAUCAUUCUAAGGAUCGUUAGCUGUAUGGGAAUGCAUAUCAUGAUUUGGUUGCUGAUUGGUAAAUGUAGGUUGUGGUUGAGAUCCUGUUGUAUAGCUGGUAGGCCGUGCAAAUACAAAGGAGACUUUGUUCGAGUGGACAGAGGAACUUGGUAUUUGUGGCGGGUCUGUACGUCACGUGGGCCAGGUUUUCAAAAAAAAAUAAUUUUGGUACAUCUUCCGCGACUCUGAGUUUUAAAAAUGGUAAUGGCUUUUAAAUCGGCCCCGGGGCGUGACAUUUAAGCAGGCUAAAACCUCGACCGCAUCCUUCUUAAGACGGGUUCUUUUCAGAUUUUUUUUUUUUUUUUUUGCCUUUUGGGCGAUAGGGCGAGGCGAACUGCGGAGGUUCUCUGAAAGUUUUUUUUUCUUUUUUGUAUUGGGCCACCCGCGAGGCCCGCGAGUCCACGCUCGCAGGCUCGCAGCAUGCGACAGCAACCGUGUUCUUUUGGGCCGAAUUAUUCGCAAAUCGCGUUUAAUUCGCGAAUAAUUACUUUUACCCAAAAAAACGUGACUUUUUUCGAAUUUUUGGAAAAAAUACGAAAACGGCUGUUUUAUUCGGCUUUUCAAAAAUUCGCGAAUAAUUCGCGAAUUAACUAACUAUGCAUGGAAGAGACGAAGAAGAUGACGAUGAAGAAAGAAAAAGGGGGAGAGAGAGAGAGAGAGGGGAGGGGCGAAAAAGGUGAAGUAUGCGCUGGGUAUCGAGAGGACGAGUGCGGAGACGAGACGGAUAUAUUUUAAUCAAAAAANUUAUCGGUUUAGUUUUAUCCCUACUAUUCUGUUGUUAUAGCUUAGUCAGUUUAUAUGGUUCAGUAUUUUUAUUACUUUGGAAUAUGUGGACUUUCAUGAAUAUAAUAAAAGAAUUUCUGGAUUUGGUAAAAUAAAAGGUUUUCUACCCCUCGUGGUAGCUUUUAUAAAAGAUAAAAGUUUUCGCGUAUGGAACAGUUUUUAAAAGGUUUUUCGUGGACUUUUGUUUAAAUAUCGAAUGUAAAACUACGGUGUGAAUGGUGAAUGUAUGAAUGUAUAGCUAUCUGUAUAUUCAUUUAGUUGUGGUUGUAUACUGUUUGUACUUUUGUACUUGUGCGACGCCGUGCAAAUGCAGGGGAGAUUCUGUUCGUGUGAACAGUGGAUUCCCUGUAUUUGUGGCGGAUCUGACAUACUCUGGGGUCAGGUGUUUCAAAAAAAAAAAAAUUUAGUCGUUUUCGCUGUUUUUCCAAACUAAAAAGGGACCCCGGGGCGUGACAAACUCGACCGCAUCCUUCUUAAGACGGGUUCUUUUCAGAUUUUUUUUUUUUUUUUUUUUGUGUUUUGGGGGGAUUUGUUACAAUUGUAAGGAAAUUGAUGUGUAAGUUGAUUUAGACUCACAUGAUCUCAUUCUGAUUCCAUAGUAUGGCGUAAUUGUGAAAAGCCGCGGUGGGAUCGAACCACAAGUGGAACUUCAUCUCCCUGCCGAUGAUCCGGCCGUCUCCGCUGCCCCUGACGUAGACAUUCGUCUGCAACGUAUACGGCCUCCCCGGGGUCGUCCCGAGAAACUCGAUGUCGACCUCGUCGUGGUACCCGGGAUGGACUUGAUUGUUCGAAAGCUGCAACGAAAUUUAAUUUUUUUUUUUCAUUCAAAAAAUAAAAAUUAUAAACCAGCUGCAUUUGAAACUUUNGGAGAGAGAGAGAGAGGGGAGGGGCGAAAAAGGUGAAGUAUGCGCUGGGUAUCGAGAGGACGAGUGCGGAGACGGGACAGAUAUAUUUUAAUCAAAAAAAAAAGUUAAUGACCCGAUUUGGAUUUGAACUCCCGUUUGCGUGUACCCUUAGUAUAGGUAGUCGGUAGGGAUGUAAUGUGUUCCGAGCCAAUUCGUGCCGAAGGGCGGCCCAGCCCGACCCGGUUCUUAAUCCGGGCCGUGCCGUGUCGGCCCGAUUAUAUGAAGUAGGAGGCCGACCCGACCCCCUGGCCGUGCCGGGCCGGGCCGGGCUUCGUGCCAGGCUACCACCUACCUGGCGCCAGGCACAGUUUUUUUUAGAAAUUUUUUUUUCAGAAAAAGAGAUAAUUCGUUUUUAAAUUAUAAUUUGACUUAUAGCUUACUUUAUACAAUUAUACCCAACUUUUUACAAACUAUUGUAUUAAAUAUUUUUAAUACUUUUUUAUUAUUUGAAGAAAAGUUAAUAUUUUUAAAAAGUAAUUACAACAAAUAUAUAAAGUUUGUAUUAAUUAUAUUACAUAAAGUUUUUAUUUUUAAAAAAAAUUUAUUUUUUUUAAGAAAAAGAGUUUGAAUUAUAACUUUUUGACUUAUAAAUUUUAAUUUACACAAUUAUACCUAACCUUUUAAAACUCAUUUAAAAUUUUUAUAAAAUUAAAAAAAUAAAACACAAAUAAUAAAAUUGGUAUUUGAAUUAGUCAUAUUAUAUAAUUACAUUAGAGAAAUAUAUAAAAAUUCAAAAAAUCAAAAAUAUAUUUAAAAUAAAAUGGUAUUGUUUAUACAACCAAUUAACAAACAAUAGAGAAAAAAAAAUUCAACAUAAUUUUUUUCUUCAUUACAUCAUUUUUUCACUUAAAAAAUAAAUAUAUCUGCUAAAAAGCGGUACCAAAUAAAAAAGAAGAGACGCAACAACUAAUAGGCAAUAGCGAGGAGAUCGGGACGAUUGCACCCUAGCAUGCCACAAGUGUAUUUUCAGGUAGUUGAUUCUGUUUCAUCUGAAGAUGUAGACUCAUGACCUCCUUUAUCUUGCAUUCUUAAUUCUCCAGCUCGCCAAUCUUUUAAGCAGACUAAAACCUCGACCGCAUCCUCCUUAAGACGGGUUCUAUAAUCAUCCAAUAUUCUUCCACCGGCACUAAAAACAGAUUCGGAUGCCACUGUUGAAACCUGCACAGUUAGUAGUUCACGUGCCAUGGCAGAAAGCACAGGAUAUGUACUUUCAUGUGUUUUCCACCAGGCUAAAAUAUCCAAUUUAUCUAAUUCAUCUUCAUUAAAAAGAUUUGAAAAGUUGGUUUGCAAGUAAAACUAAAGUUCAUUAAAAAAAUGUGCACUAAAAUCUGUUUGUUUUUGUUUUCUUACUAAAGAUAAAAUCAUAUUUUUACUAGUUUUACCACUGCUACUACUACUGCUGCUUUGUAACUGUAAAGAAUAUGGUCGCUUAUUACCCGAAGCAAUUGCAUAAAUACUAUACAUUUCACAUAAAGUACUAUCUACUAUUUGAAAAAUAUUUUUCCUAUUUGAAUAAUUUGUUAAAUUAAUUUCUAAAAAUUCAUUAUAUUGUCUAAGAGCAAUUUCUACUCCGUUUAAUUUAAUUCUAGGAUCCAUUAUAAAGGCUAAAAGAUGUACAAUAGGAAUUUUUUUCCAAUAUUCUUUAAAUUUAGAUUCCAUCAUAAAAACAAUUUGAACUAAAAGAGGAGAAUUUCUAUAUUCAGUAAAAUGACUACUAAUAAGUAAAAUUUGAUUAAGAAAAUGACAUGAAGUAGGAUAAUACACACCUGAUAAAAGUUUGGUUGACUCAUACAAUGGUUGCAAAAAAGACAUAAGAAUUUGUUCAAUAUCCCAUUCUUCAUUAGUUAUGGGAUUAUGUUGCAUUUUCUCAUUACAAAAAAUAGAUAAAAUAUUUCUAUACUCAUAACAAUAUUGCAACAUUUUAUAUGUAGAAUUCCAUCGGUGUUGAACAUCAAAAAUAAAUUUUUUAUACUUUUGGCCCAUUUGUCUACAUAAGCUUUUAAAAUCUUAUUUUUUUGGACUAGAACUAUGAAUAAACAUAAUACAAUCUUUUAAUUUUUUUAUUUGUGGACUAAUUAUUUUUAAUCCCUCAUGGACACACAAAUUUAUAAUAUGACAUGCACAUUUAUUAUGAAAUAAUUUUGAAUUUAAGAUGGGAUGCAAAUUAUUUUUCAAAAUUUGAACCGCGGUUCUAUUAUUGCUAGCAUUAUCGAAACUAAUUGAAAAUUUUUUUUGGCUAAUGUUAUAAAUUAGCAAAACAUUUUCAAUUGCCUGAGCAAUAUUAAUACCAGUAUGUGGAAACUCAAGUUCUUGAAACCCAAUAAUUCGUUUUUGUAAAAUCCAAUUAGAAUCAAUCCAAUGUGCAGUAACACAUAUAAAACUACGCUUAUUUCUUGACGUCCAAAUAUCGGAAGUGAAAAUUUUGAAUUCAAAUUUUCUAAAUUAAAAUCAAAUUUUGUCUAUAUUCAAGAAAUGCUUUUAUUGAAUCUUUGCGACUAGUAUUUCGAGAAGUUUUUUAUAAGCGGGAUUUAAAGCUGUUUUCACAUAGUGUUCAAAAUAUAGACAUUCGGCAAAUGUAUAUGGUUGUUCAGCUCCUACAAUAUAUAAUGCAAGUUCUCUUCUAUUACGUUCAUGAGAAUAUUGAAAUGUACUAACUCCACUAGAAGUAAAAGCAAGUUGAGAUUGUUUUGUCUCUUUACCUUCUUUUACCUGGUGUUUCUGAAUAUGUCUGUUAAGAUGACCGGUUCCACCAGAACUAUCACAAGAAUAAUGAAUCUCACAUAUAGUACAAAUAGCUCGCAUACCUUGUCCUUCAAUAUUUUUGAUAUUGAAGUAUUUCCAUACUUCACUUGUUCUCCGUUUAGAUGCUUUUUUAGAACUUGCAUCUAAAUUUGGUUUAGGUUGCGAGCCGUCAUCACCUUGUGUAGAACCACCGGCUCCAGUUUCUGAUUGAUUACUAACAUAAUACUCAGGAUUAUAAUCAAUGCAAGAAAAAUCUAUGUGAGAAAAUUCACCCGACAUUAUUAUAAAAAAUAAAUACAAUAAUACCAAAAAAAAUUAAAUAAAAAUAUUUUAAAAAUUAAAAACUAAAACAAUAAGAGAUUAAUUAUAGUGUUGAAAUUAAAAUUUUGUAUGGUGAAAUUGUGAAGAGACUUUGUAUAAAAAAAAUUUAUUAAAAAAUAUUUAAAAUAUUUGCUAAGUAAACUUAAGAGUUGAGAAAGAAAAGAAUUUAAAUUGAAAGUUUAAGAGUAGGAAGAAUUUGUGUUUGUAGAAUAGAAUGAAUGAAGAGUUGUUUGUUGUGAGGAAUUUGAAUGUUUGUAGGAGUAUUUAUAGAUAUAAAAAAAUUAAAAAAAUAUAUAUAAAUAUUUUUUACUUUUUGACCAAAAUGUCCUCUCUAAUAUUUAAAUUUUUGAAUGUUAGUGAGGACAUUAUAGUCAUUUUGAUAAAAAAAAAUAUAUUUUUAAUUUGUUUAACCUUUUCUUUGAAAAAUAAUAAAAAAAAUUCGAAAAAAUAAAUUCACCCAGGCCAUGAGUCCAUGACAUGACUGUUAUGACCCAUCAGCCAUCAGUCACCCACCCAACGGCUUAAUAGCUGUUGGGCCCACUGUCCAAGGGACCUUGGACAUUGGGAGGCCUAUAAAGGAUAGCCUAAAGCCUAGGCUACCUAGCUUAGGCCUGGCUUGACAGUUGACCUAGCUUAGGCUUGGCUUGAACAGGCUUCUUUAUAUCCGGGCCGUGCCGGCCCAGCAGGCAUGUAGGGACUGAGAUUUUUGCAGGGUAGCUAAACUCUCAGUUGACGAUGUUUUUGUGUGUAAUUUAAUUACAAAAGCACUCGUCAAGUUUCGGGCGAAAAUGAGUUAAAACGGAAAUUCUACGCGAUUUCCAAGUUUCACUUAAAGUGAAUAGUAACUCGAUUUUCCGGAGAAGCCGCAGUGAGAAGUUGGCUUCUGGCUCGUACCGGACUCUGUUCAUAGCAGUCCAAUAGCUCGUUUCUGGACUUCUGUUAAAUAUCGAAUGCUAAACAUACGGUGAAUUUUUGAAUGUGUGAAUGUAUGAAUUGCUAAGCUAUCUGUAUCAUUCAUUUAGUUGUAGGCUUGCCUAGACUGUUUGUACCUUUUGUACUUGUGCGACGCCGUGCAAAUGCCAGGGAAGAUUCUGUUCGUAUACUCGGUGAACAGUGGAACUUCCCUGUAUAUGUGGCGGAUCUGACCAUACUUCUCGGGGUACAGGUGUUUCAAAAACAAAAAUUUAGUCGUUUUCGCCUGUUUUUCCAAAACUAAAAAAGGGCACCCCGCGGCGUGACAACUCGACCGCAUCCUUCUUAAGACGGGUUUCUUUUCAGAUUUUUUUUUUUUUUAUUUAGGCCUUUUGAGGCGAAGGCGAGUGCGAACUGCGCGACGGUUCUCUGAAAGUUUUUUUUUUCUUUUCUGUAUUUGGCACCCGCCGAGCCCUGCGAGUCCACGCUGCAGAGCUCGCAGCAUGCAACAGCAACCGUGUUCUUCUGGGAUCCCGAUUAUUCGCAAAUCGCGUUUAAUUCGCGAAUAAUUAACUUUAUUACCCAAAAAAACGCGACUUUUUUCGAAUUUUUUGGGAAAAUACGAAACGGUGUUUUAUAUCGGCUUUUCCAAAAAAUCGCGAAUAAGAUUCCGCGAAUAACUAACUAUGCAUGCGGAGAGACGAAGAGAAGGAUGACGAUGAGAAAGGAAAAAGGGACGAGAGAGAGAGAGGGAGGGGCGAAAAAGUGAAGUAUGCGCUGGGGACGUUAUCGACUGAGACGAGUGCGGAGACGCGGACAGAUUAUAUUAUUACAUCAAAAAAAAAAGUUAAUGACCGAUUUGAUUGAACUCCCGUUCGGUUCUGUACCCUUGUAUAGGUAUCAGGUAGGAGUAUGUGUUUCCGCAGCCAAUUCGUGCCCGCUAAAGGGCGGCCAGCCCGACCGGUUCUUAAUCCGGGCACCGCUGCCGUGUCGGGCCCCGAUUAUAUUUGAAGUAAGCAGGCCCGGCCGGCCCCUGCCCGCAGCACGGGCCGUGCGGGCCGGCCGCGGCUUCGUGCCAGGCUACCACGCUACUGGCGCCAGGCCCACUUUUUUAGAAAUUUUUUUUUCUAGAAAAAGAGAUAAUUCGGUUUUUAAAUUAUAAUUUGACUAUAUAGCCUUACUUUAAUUACAAUUAUACCCAACUUUUUACAAACUUAUUGUAUUAAAAUAAUUUUAAUGAACUUUUUAUUUAUUUGAUAGCAAAAGUUAAAUAUUUUAAAAAAUAAUUACAACAAAUAUAUUAAGUUUGUUAUUAAUUAUAUUUACAUUAAAGUUUUUAUUUAUUUUUAAAAAAAAUUUUAUUUUAGAAGAAAGAGUUUUGAAUUAUAACUUUUUGAUUAUACAAUUUAAAUUUUACACAAUUUAUACCUAACCUUUUAAAACUCAUUUAAAAUUUUUUAAAAUUUAAAAAAAUAACACAAAUAAAUAAAUUGGUAUUUGAAUUAGUCAUAUUUUAUAAUUACAUUAAGAGAAAUAUAAAAUUCAAAAAACAAUAUAUAUUUAAAAAUAAUGUAUUGUUUAUAACAACAAUUAACAAACCAAUAUGAGAAAAAAAAUUAACAUUAAAUUUUUUCUUCAUACAUCAUUUUUUCACUUAAAAAAUAAAAUUAUCUGCUAAAAAGCCGAGUACCAAAUAAAAAGAAGAGACGCAACACUAAUAGGCACUUAGCGAGGAGAUCGGGACGAUUGCACCCUAGCAUGCCACAAGUGUAUUUUCAGGUCGUUGAUUCUGUCUUCAUCUGAGAUGUUAGACUCAUGACGCUCCUUUUAUCUGCAUCUUAAUUCUCCCAGCUCGCCAAUCUUUAAGCAGACUAAAACCUCGAAAACCGCCAUCUCCGUUAAGACGGGGUUCUAUAAUCGAUCCAAUAUUCUUCCACCGGCACUAAAAACAGAUUCGCAUGCCACUGUUUGAAACCCUGCCACAGUUAGUAGUUCACGAUGCCAUGCAGAAAGCACAGGAUAUGUACUUUUCAUGUGUUUUCCACCAGGCUUAAAUUAAUCCAAUUUAUCUAAUUCAUCUUCAUUAAAAAGAUUUAAAAGUGGGUUUUGCAAGGUAAAACUAAAGUCAUUAAAAAAAAUGUGCACUAAAAAUCUGUUUGUUUUCUGUUUUCUUACUAAGAUAAAAUCAUAUUUUUAAUUUUUACCACUGCUACUACUACUGCUGCUUUGUAACUGUAAAAGAAUAUGGUCGGUUAUUACCCGAAAGCAUAUGCAUAAAUUACUAUACAUUUUCACAUACAGUAUAUCUUACUAUUUGAAAAAUAUUUUUGCCGUUUUCUACCCCUCGAGGUAGUCGGUUUUCAAAAUAGAGUUUCCGUGUGGGAAACAGUUUUAAAAAGGUUUUCGAAUGGUUUUUAUAAAUGAUUGAAUUAGAGUUUAAAAACAAAAGCUUCCGUGUGGGGAGCACUUUUAAAUAGGAUGUUUGUUGUAUUGUGCAUUGCAUCAUCCAGCGCCUAAGGAGUGCUUAGAGGCAUGCAUCAUUCUAAAGAUUGUUAGUUGUAUGGAAAUACAUAUCAUACUUUGGUUGUUGUUUGGUAAAUGUAGGUUGUGGUUGUGAUCCUGUUGUAUCGUUGGUACGCCGUGCAGAUACAAAUGAGACUCUGUCCGAGUGGACAGAGGAACUUUGUAUUUGUGGCGGGUCUGUACGCCGCGUGGGCCAGGUUGAAAAAAAAAAAAAAAAAAAUGGCACGUUUUCCGC